rnacentral:rRNA from 1 species
CAGUAGCCGCGGUAAUACGGAGGGUGCAAGCGUUAUCCGGAUUUAUUGGGUUUAAAGGGUCCGUAGGCGGACUUAUAAGUCAGUGGUGAAAGCCUGUCGCUUAACGAUAGAACUGCCAUUGAUACUGUAAGUCUUGAGUAUAUUUGAGGUAGCUGGAAUAAGUAGUGUAGCGGUGAAAUGCAUAGAUAUUACUUAGAACACCAAUUGCGAAGGCAGGUUACCAAGAUAUAACUGACGCUGAGGGACGAAAGCGUGGGUAGCGAACAGGAUUAGAGACCCCUGUAGUCCCUGUCUCUUAUAC